CAGUAGCCGCGGUAAUACAGAGGGUGCGAGCGUUAAUCGGAUUUACUGGGCGUAAAGCGUGCGUAGGCGGCUUCUUAAGUCGGAUGUGAAAUCCCUGAGCUUAACUUAGGAAUUGCAUUCGAUACUGGGAAGCUAGAGUAUGGGAGAGGAUGGUAGAAUUCCAGGUGUAGCGGUGAAAUGCGUAGAGAUCUGGAGGAAUACCGAUGGCGAAGGCAGCCAUCUGGCCUAAUACUGACGCUGAGGUACGAAAGCGUGGGGAGCAAACAGGAUUAGAGACCCCGGUAGUCCCUGUCUCUUAUAA
rnacentral:rRNA from 1 species